rnacentral:rRNA from 1 species
AGGACGAACGCUGGCGGCGUGCUUAACACAUGCAAGUCGAGCGGAAAGGCCCUUCGGGGUACUCGAGCGGCGAACGGGUGAGUAACACGUGAGCAACCUGCCCUUAGCUUCGGGAUAGCUCCGGGAAACCGGAAUUAAUACCGGAUAUGACUAUGGCCGACAUCAGCCAUGGUGGAAAGUUUUUCGGCUAGGGAUGGACUCGCGGCCUAUCAGCUAGUUGGUGAGGUAACGGCUCACCAAGGCGACGACGGGUAGCCGGCCUGAGAGGGCGACCGGCCACACUGGGACUGAGACACGGCCCAGACUCCUACGGGAGGCAGCAGUGGGGAAUAUUGCGCAAUGGGCGAAAGCCUGACGCAGCGACGCCGCGUGGGGGAUGAAUGCCUCGGUUGUAAACCCUUUCAGCAGGACGAAGCGAAAGUGACGGUACCUGCAGAAGAAGCGCCGGCUAACUACGUGCCAGCAGCCGC